GGGGGCAUAGCUCAAUUGGCAGAGCGUAUGUUUUGCAAGCAUAAGGUUAUCGGUUCAAUUCCGAUUGUCUCCA
rnacentral:tRNA from 1 species